rnacentral:rRNA from 1 species
AUUGAACGCUGGCGGAAUGCUUUACACAUGCAAGUCGAACGGCAGCACGGGGCAACCUGGUGGCGAGUGGCGAACGGGUGAGUAAUACAUCGGAACGUGCCCAAUCGUGGGGGAUAACGUAGCGAAAGUUACGCUAAUACCGCAUACGAUCUACGGAUGAAAGCGGGGGAUCGCAAGACCUCGCGCGAAUGGAGCGGCCGAUGUCAGAUUAGGUAGUUGGUGGGGUAAAGGCCUACCAAGCCAACGAUCUGUAGCUGGUCUGAGAGGACGACCAGCCACACUGGGACUGAGACACGGCCCAGACUCCUACGGGGGGCAGCAGUGGGGAAUUUUGGACCAUGGGCGCAAGCCUGAUCCAGCCAUUCCGCGUGCAGGAUGAAGGCCUUCGGGUUGUAAACUGCUUUUGUACGGAACGAAACGGUUCUCUCUAAUACAGGGGGCUAAUGACGGUACCGUAAGAAUAAGCACCGGCUAACUACGUGCCAGCAGCAGCCGCGGUAA